ACGGAGGGUGCAAGCGUUAUCCGGAUUUAUUGGGUUUAAAGGGUGCGUAGGCGGGACAUUAAGUCAGUGGUGAAAGCCUGUAGCUCAACUACAGAACUGCCAUUGAUACUGAUGUUCUUGAAUUUGGUUGAGGUAGGCGGAAUACGUCAUGUAGCGGUGAAAUGCAUAGAUAUGACGUGGAACACCGAUCGCGAAGGCAGCUUACCAAACCAACAUUGACGCUAAUGCACGAAAGCGUGGGUAGCGAACAGG
rnacentral:rRNA from 1 species